rnacentral:rRNA from 1 species
AAACUAACAAGGAUUCCCCUAGUAGCGGCGAGCGAAGCGGGAAGAGCUCAAAUUUAUAAUCUGGCACCUUCGGUGUCCGAGUUGUAAUCUCUAGAAAUGUUUUCCGCGUUGGACCGCACACAAGUCUGUUGGAAUACAGCGGCAUAGUGGUGAGACCCCCGUAUAUGGUGCGGACGCCCAGCGCUUUGUGAUACAUUUUCGAAGAGUCGAGUUGUUUGGGAAUGCAGCUCAAAUUGGGUGGUAAAUUCCAUCUAAAGCUAAAUAUUGGCGAGAGACCGAUAGCGAACAAGUACCGUGAGGGAAAGAUGAAAAGCACUUUGGAAAGAGAGUUAACAGUACGUGAAAUUGUUGGAAGGGAAACGCUUGAAGUCAGACUUGCUUGCCGAGCAAUCGGUUUGCAGGCCAGCAUCAGUUUUCCGGGAUGGAUAAUGGUAGAGAGAAGGUAGCAGUUUCGGCUGUGUUAUAGCUCUCUGCUGGAUACAUCUUGGGGGACUGAGGAACGCAGUGUGCCUUUGGCGGGGGUUUCGACCUCUUCACACUUAGGAUGCUGGUGGAAUGGCUUUAAACGACCCGUCU